rnacentral:rRNA from 1 species
AGAGUUUGAUCCUGGCUCAGGAUGAACGCUAGCGACAGGCUUAACACAUGCAAGUCGAGGGGCAGCGGGGGUAGCAAUACCCGCCGGCGACCGGCGCACGGGUGAGUAACGCGUAUGCAACUUACCUAUCAGAGGGGGAUAACCCGGCGAAAGUCGGACUAAUACCGCAUGAAGCAGGGGCCCCGCAUGGGGAUAUUUGCUAAAGAUUCAUCGCUGAUAGAUAGGCAUGCGUUCCAUUAGGCAGUUGGCGGGGUAACGGCCCACCAAACCGACGAUGGAUAGGGGUUCUGAGAGGAAGGUCCCCCACAUUGGUACUGAGACACGGACCAAACUCCUACGGGAGGCAGCAGUGAGGAAUAUUGGUCAAUGGACGCAAGUCUGAACCAGCCAUGCCGCGUGCAGGAUGACGGCUCUAUGAGUUGUAAACUGCUUUUGUACGAGGGUAAACGCAGAUACGUGUAUCUGCCUGAAAGUAUCGUACGAAUAAGGAUCGGCUAACUCCGUGCCAGCAGCCGCGGUAAUACGGAGGAUCCGAGCGUUAUCCGGAUUUAUUGGGUUUAAAGGGAGCGUAGAUGGAUGUUUAAGUCAGUUGUGAAAGUUUGCGGCUCAACCGUAAAAUUGCAGUUGAUACUGGAUAUCUUGAGUGCAGUUGAGGCAGGCGGAAUUCGUGGUGUAGCGGUGAAAUGCUUAGAUAUCACGAAGAACUCCGAUUGCGAAGGCAGCCUGCUAAGCUGCAACUGACAUUGAGGCUCGAAAGUGUGGGUAUCAAACAGGAUUAGAUACCCUGGUAGUCCACACGGUAAACGAUGAAUACUCGCUGUUUGCGAUAUACUGCAAGCGGCCAAGCGAAAGCGUUAAGUAUUCCACCUGGGGAGUACGCCGGCAACGGUGAAACUCAAAGGAAUUGACGGGGGCCCGCACAAGCGGAGGAACAUGUGGUUUAA